UACGUAGGGACCGAGCGUUGUCCGGAAUCAUUGGGCGUAAAGAGCAUGUAGGCGGCCACUUAAGUCCUGCGUGAAAUCUUGCGGCUCAACCGCAAGCGGUCGUGGGAAACUGGGUGGCUAGAGUGCGGGAGAGGAGAGUGGAAUUCCUGGUGUAGCGGUGGAAUGCGCAGAUAUCAGGAAGAACACCCGUGGCGAAGGCGGCUCUCUGGAACGCAACUGACGCUGAGACGCGAAAGCGUGGGAGCAAACAGG
rnacentral:rRNA from 1 species